rnacentral:tRNA from 1 species
GCCCCGAUAGCUCAGUAGGUAGAGCGCCUGCCUUGUAAGCAGGAUGUCGCCGGUUCAAUUCCGGCUCGUGGCUCCA